rnacentral:rRNA from 1 species
CAGUCGAGCGGACAGAUGGGAGCUUGCUCCCUGAUGUUAGCGGCGGACGGGUGAGUAACACGUGGGUAACCUGCCUGUAAGACUGGGAUAACUCCGGGAAACCGGGGCUAAUACCGGAUGGUUGUUUGAACCGCAUGGUUCAAACAUAAAAGGUGGCUUCGGCUACCACUUACAGAUGGACCCGCGGCGCAUUAGCUAGUUGGUGAGGUAACGGCUCACCAAGGCAACGAUGCGUAGCCGACCUGAGAGGGUGAUCGGCCACACUGGGACUGAGACACGGCCCAGACUCCUACGGGAGGCAGCAGUAGGGAAUCUUCCGCAAUGGACGAAAGUCUGACGGAGCAACGCCGCGUGAGUGAUGAAGGUUUUCGGAUCGUAAAGCUCUGUUGUUAGGGAAGAACAAGUACCGUUCGAAUAGGGCGGUACCUUGACGGUACCUAACCAGAAAGCCACGGCUAACUACGUGCCAGCAGCCGCGGUAAUACGUAGGUGGCAAGCGUUGUCCGGAAUUAUUGGGCGUAAAGGGCUCGCAGGCGGUUUCUUAAGUCUGAUGUGAAAGCCCCCGGCUCAACCGGGGAGGGUCAUUGGAAACUGGGGAACUUGAGUGCAGAAGAGGAGAGUGGAAUUCCACGUGUAGCGGUGAAAUGCGUAGAGAUGUGGAGGAACACCAGUGGCGAAGGCGACUCUCUGGUCUGUAACUGACGCUGAGGAGCGAAAGCGUGGGGAGCGAACAGGAUUAGAUACCCUGGUAGUCCACGCCGU